rnacentral:rRNA from 1 species
AGCAUUAUACAGCGAAACUGCGAAUGGCUCAUUAUAUAAGUUAUCGUUUAUUUGAUAGUACCUUACUACUUGGAUAACCGUGGUAAUUCUAGAGCUAAUACAUGCUGAAAAUCCCGACUUCGGAAGGGAUGUAUUUAUUAGAUUAAAAACCAAUGCCCUUCUGGGCUCUCUGGUGAUUCAUGAUAACUUCUCGAAUCGCACGGCCUCGCGCCGGCGAUGGUUCAUUCAAAUUUCUUCCCUAUCAACUUUCGAUGUUUGGGUAGUGGCCAAACAUGGUUGCAACGGGUAACGGAGGGUUAGGGCUCGACCCCGGAGAAGGAGCCUGAGAAACGGCUACUACAUCCAAGGAAGGCAGCAGGCGCGCAAAUUACCCAAUCCCGACACGGGGAGGUAGUGACAAUAAAUACUGAUACAGGGCUCUUUCGGGUCUUGUAAUUGGAAUGAGUACAAUUUAAAUCCCUUAACGAGGAACAAUUGGAGGGCAAGUCUGGUGAACGCAGCCGCGGUAAUUCCAGCUCCAAUAGCGUAUAUUAAAGUUGUUGUGGUUAAAAAGCUCGUAGUUGAACCUUGGGCCUGGCUGGCCGGUCCGCCUCACCGCGUGUACUGGUCCGGCCGGGCCUUUCCCUCUGUGGAACCCCAUGCCCUUCACUGGGCGUGGCGGGGAAACAGGACGUUUACUUUGAAAAAAUUAGAGUGCUCCAGGCAGGCCUAUGCUCGAAUACAUUAGCAUGGAAUAAUGAAAUAGGACGCGCGGUUCUAUUUUGUUGGUUUCUAGGACCGCCGUAAUGAUUAAUAGGGACAGUCGGGGGCAUCAGUAUUCAAUUGUCAGAGGUGAAAUUCUUGGAUUUAUUGAAGACUAACUACUGCGAAAGCAUUUGCCAAGGAUGUUUUCAUUAAUCAGGAACGAAAGUUAGGGGAUCGAAGACGAUCAGAUACCGUCGUAGUCUUAACCAUAAACUAUGCCGACUAGGGAUCGGACGAUGUUAUUUUUUGACUCGUUCGGCACCUUACGAGAAAUCAAAGUGCUUGGGCUCCAGGGGGAGUAUGGUCGAAAGGCUGAAACUUAAAGGAU